CUGCACGAUGCACAAAGGGCUUCUCUGAGGAUCCCUGUGACGCCGUAAGCCCCAAUUGCUCGUGCUAGAACUCCGCCGUUUAGUGUUGCAGGUUUAGCUUUGUUCACAUUCCACGGCUGAUCUGUGUCAAAACAACGGCUACAUUU